GGCAUGGGGUGUGCCGGUAAGCUCAUGCCGUCGGAAAACCUCGCUGCCAUCACCGAAAAAGCCACUGCCAUUGUCGUGAUCGGAAUUCGUUGCCGCUGCCGCUUGAGGUGGCUGUUGGGGCUACCGCCCAACCGGUUCAGAGGUCGUUGCUGUUCGGUUCGGCCGUUCUUUCUUAGUUUCAGAGCUAGAAUCCGGUUUGCUUGUGCCGUUUGGGGCUGUUUCUGCUUUUGAGAGAGCGGGCAGAGCCGAGAUUUUGAUUGCCGGUGAUUUCGGGUCGAGAUAAAAGGAGUUGGUUAACGAGUUGGGUUGUGGUUCCAAUGUUGUGAGGAUAUGGGCGCAGAAGUUACGAAGAGCUUAUUUAAUUGUUGUUGUGAUGCUCUGUAUUGUUUUAGUUAUGGUUUAUUGUACCCUCGCCUUUAUCUUGAUAUAUUCUGUAAGAGGGAUAGGAAUUGUAUUGGAUAAUGCUUAUAAUAUUAUCUAUGUGUAUAAGUGUAUAUAUGUAUG